UUUAUUUCUAGGAGUCCCAAGUGAAAGUCUUGGGGAUUUAUUAGGGUCCCUAUUCAGGGGCAAGCCCUGAAUGCUGCAUUUUUCUCUUCUGUAUUAUGUGACUGCUGAUAACUGCAUUUAAGUCUUCACUUCUUUACUAUGGGAUUCUGUAUGGCUUACCUGUACCUUCCCAGCUUAUGAAUUGAUUUAAUUAUUCAUUUGACAGAGAAAGAAAGAUCAAGAAAGCAGUGGGGAGGGGCAGCAGGAGAAGGAGAAGCAGGCUCCUGCUGAUCAAGUAGCCCACUGGGCCUUGAUCCUAGGACCUGAGAUCAUGACCUGAGCCAAGGCAGACGGAGAUCACAAGCAAGCAGAGGAGCAGGCCCAGAGAGAGGAGGAAGCAGGCUCCCUGCUGAGCAGAAAACCCAAUAUGGGGCUAGAUCCCAGGA
rnacentral:lncRNA from 1 species